UAUUUCACUUAAUAAUAAAUAAAUAAAUAAAUAAAAGGAUACUAUAGCAAAAUUAUAUUAGGCAGACUUUGAAACAAUGAAGAAACAAGGUGAGGAACCAAAUACCAUAAGUGGAACUAUAAUACUCUGUCUUCAUGAGAAUCAAAAGUCU